rnacentral:lncRNA from 1 species
AUGAUGAGGAAAUUAUGUUCAGUACAGUCAUCUUUGGUUCCACUGUCAUUGUUUUAUCCUUGUUUACUUGUAGUUUGGUUUGCACUCUGUCUGUUUCUCGCCCAUCUCUCACUCAUCUCUAAUCCAUCUUUCCCCAUUUCUCCCCCUUCUCUCACCCAUAUCUCCCCAUCUCUCCCCCGUCUCUCACUCGUAUCUCCCCCAUCUCUCCCCCGUCUCUCACUCGUAUCUUCCCCAUCUCUCCCCCAUCUCACCCAUUUGUCACCUGUAUCUCCCCCAUCUCUCCCCCAUCUCACCCACAUCUCCGCCAUAUCUCCCCCAUCUCUCCUCCAUCUCUCCUCCAUCUCUCACCCGUAUCUCCCCCAUAUCUCUCCCCCAUCUCUCACCCGUAUCUCCCCCAUAUCUGCCCCAUCUCUCACCCAUAUCCCUCUCAUCUCUCACCCAUAUCUCCUCCAUCUCUCCUCCAUCUCUCCCCCAUAUCUCCCCAUCUCUCCCCUGUAUCUCCCCGUCUCUCACUCGUAUCUCCCCCAUCUCUCACUCAUAUCUCACCCAUCUCUCCCCCGCAUCUCUCCCAUAUCUCCCCCAUCUCUCACCCAUCUCUCACCCGUAUCUCCUUCAUCUCUCCCCCAUCUCUCAACUGUAUCUUCCCCGUCUCUUCCCCGUAUCUCCCCCAUAUCUCCCCCAUAUCUCCACCAUCUCACCCAUUUGUCACCUGUAUCUCUCCCAUCUCUCCCCCAUCUCACCCAUUUGUCACCUGUAUCUUCCCCAUCUCUCCUGUCUCUCACCCAUUUGUCACCCGUAUCUCCCCCAUAUCCCCCCCAUCUCACCCAUUUGUCACCUGUAUCUCCCCCAUCUCUCCCCCAUCUCACCCAUAUCUCCCCCAUCUCUCCCCCAUCUCUCCUCCAUCUCUCCUCCAUCUCUCACCCGUAUCUCCCCCAUAUCUCUCCCCCAUAUCUCACCCGUAUCUCCCCCAUAUCUGCCCCAUCUCUCACCCGUAUCCCUCUCAUCUCUCACCCGUAUCUCCUCCAUCUCUCCUCCAUCUCUCCCCCAUAUCUCCCCAUCUCUCCCUCGUCUCUCACCCAUUUGUCACCCGUAUCUCCCCCAUCUUUCACCCAUCUCUCUCCUGUAACUCUCCCAUCUCUCACCCCAAUAUCCCCCAUCUCUUCCCCAUAUGUCUGUUUGUCACUUAGUCGCCACCACUGA